rnacentral:tRNA from 1 species
UGGCUGAGUGGUAAAGUGCUUGUCUUUUCAACAACAGGGUGCCAGGUUCAAAUCCUGG